rnacentral:lncRNA from 1 species
AUUGUGCAGUGAAGAUACAAUAUGUGGACUAGAGUUUCUGAUCUGGGAAUCUUCACCCAGAAAUUGAUUAUCAAACCCUUGGCUGUCUGAGCACGCAUAGUUCAUAUUUACAUUUUUUUUUUUUUUAGAUUAUCAUAUUUACAUUGUAUUUUUUUUAGAUUAGUGUUAUUUUUUGUAUGGCUUAUGAUGAUAAUUUACUUAUCUUAGCGGAUUUCAGUGAGAUUUUUUUUAUCAAUGAUCUGAUUGUUACACACACUGAGGCCA